GGAAUGGGUGGCUGGGAUCUA
rnacentral:miRNA from 1 species